UUACGGCCAUAUCACGUUGAAACACCGGUUUCCGUCCGAUCACCGAAGUUAAGCAACGUCGAGACUGGUCAGUACUUAGAAAGGCGGCUACUUGGGAAUACCAGGUGCUGUAAG